UUUAAUUGCAGGCAGAAUGUUAUUUUGUUGAUCAUGGAGAUUCCGAAAUUUUAAGUGUUAAAUGCCUUUAUGAAUUAGAAUCCAGAUUUGCAAAGUUACCAUUUCAGGCAAUAAAAUGCCAGUUAUAUGGGCUCAUAGAUUAUGCUGACAACAAAAUCAUGCUGCAUCAUUUAACGGAUAAAGAUUUAAUAUUAGGAAAAACGCUAGUUGCUGAAGUUGUUAAUAG